rnacentral:lncRNA from 1 species
CUUCUUGCCAACUCUGGUUUCCUCCUCACCCUGUCUGGGGUCUGGGGAGAUUUUCACCCCAGAGGCAUGGGAGAUGGCCAGAGAUGACUUCCUUUUCUUCUGCCCACUGAGGAACUCCAAAUGGCCAAGCACCUGGUUCCUUGGGCUGGAUGACUUCUCUGUCCGUCUGGCACGCAGCGUGGUCUCAGGUUCUACGUGCCCCUCGCAAAGGGUGCUGACACCCUUCUCUUUCUUCUUUUUCUUCACUAGAGGCAUCUCAGGUGCCUGCCCGUGGACCACACUCUUAGAGGGGGCUGUGGCUUUUAUAGGAGAAACAUGGGCAAAGUAAUCAUCAUUGUUUAAAAUUGAGUAUUGAGUCCCUGGUUCUUUGACCACUUUCUUCUUCUUUUUCUUCUCUGGGAUCCCAGGGCCCAGGUCUACUUUCCGGUGGGCCAAACUUCCCCGCCUCCACGUGAGAGCCGGCUCCGCCGUGACCCGGAAGUCCACUUUCGGGUUGCACGCGUGGCUUCUCUUACACACAAAUUUUCUUCCACUUCUGCCACUCCUGAGACAGCAAGACUGAUACCUUAUUUUCCUCCUCCUCCUUGGCCUACUCAACAUGAAGAUGAUGAGGAUGACGACCUUUACGAUGAUCCACUUCCAUCUAAUGAUUGAGGCAGUGUCUCACUCUGUUGUCCAGGCUGGAGUGCAGCGAUAUGGUCAUAGCUCACUGCAGCCUCGAACUCCUGGGCUCAAGGGAUCCUGCCACCUCAGCUAAGGCCUGCAGUAGCUAAGACUAUAAUCCCUUAAAUAUUUUAGAAGAGAAGGAGCAAGAGAAGAAGAUCUCAAAAUACUUUUUCAACACUGGCUGGUUUUGAGAAGCUCACUUUCAAAAUUUGAUAUGGACAUUGCAUUUGACGAGACAGGUAAAUAAACCUGUCUCAUCGGGGACUCUUAUAAAAAAGUAUUUUAAGGUUCCUUUGAAGGGUAUCAGUGUUUGGGCCCAUAACUGCUAAACUUAAAAUUGACAUCGUAACGUUAUAUGUUACUCUCUUACUAACAGAGUAAGGGUUGACAAACUACCCUAAUUUAGAAAAAUAUAAAAAUGGAUAAUUCAUAACCAUUAAGAUGACAUAUUUGGUCUCUUGUAUCACCUAAAUUUCCCUCUAUCUCCUAUGUCACAGGAUUUUUUUUUUUUUUUUUUUUUUUUUUUUGAGACCGAGUCUCACACUAUUGCCAGGGCUGGAGUGCAAUGGUGUGAUCUCGGCUCACUGCAACAUCCGCCUCCCUGGUUCACGCGAUUCUCCUGCCUCAGCCUCCUGAGUAGCUGGGAUUUUAGGCGCCCGCCACCACACCUAACUAAUUUUCUGUAUUUUUAGUAGAGAUGGGAUUUCACUGUGUUGGCCAAACUGGUCUCGAACUCCUGACCUCGGGAUCCACCCGCCUCAGCCUCCCAAAGUGCUGGGAUUACAGCCAUGAGCGACCGCGCCCAGCCGUCACAGGAUUUCAUACUUAUUAAGAUCCCUCUUUCUUCUUUAGGAUUCCCAAGUAACUUGUCUCUGCUAUUUUUAAUGUAUAUGACCGAAUAAAUUCAAAAUGAGCCUUAUGAAAAUAGGCUAAGGUCAAACAUUGUAUACUCCUAAUAUCUCCUAGCAGUCCAUGAAUAUCUCCAAAUACGUUGGAGGGAUUGAGAUGGACUCAAAACUUAUUAGAGAAUCUUGAAUACUGUGGGCAGUGUAAAGCCCUCUCCUAUCAAUAAUAUUUCUUGUUGCCUUGGGAGGCAACUAGAAUAUGAUGAUGGAAAUGAUACAGAGGUCAGUUAUAUGCUUUUAUUUCCCCCAUAUUUUGAGAGCUGCAUAUGGUAUAUAUCUGCCCAUAAAUUUAUGUAUGCAUAUUAUGUAUACAUCUGGGUGCAUAUAUUGAAAGGCAGUAUAGCGGAGUGGUUAGGGAAUGGGUCUGGAAGCCAGAUUACCUGGGUUUGAAGCCAGGCUCUUUCACCUGCUAUUCGUAUAACCUCGGGCAAGUUAGUUACAUAACCUCUCAGUGCUUCAGUUUCCUUAUCUGUAAAAUGAUACAAUAAAAUUAUGUACCUCAUGGAGUGGCUGUGAGGAUUAAAUACGUUUAUAUACAUAAAACACCUAGAACAAUGCCUGUAAAAUGAUAGGAAUUCAAAAAUUGUAGCUACUUAACAAUAUAUUGUAUGCAUUUUUAUAUACAUCAUAUGGAUACAUACAUAUGUAUAUAUAUAUAUAAUACAUAAUCGCCUUGCCUCCAAAAUAAGACAAUUUCAUACACAUAAAAUAUAUAUAAAUGUCAUAUAUAUACAUACACACGCACACACACACACGUACACUCCAUGUAUAGCACAUUUCGAUUUUCUUGGAAAUUUCAGUUAUCUAAUGACCAACACGAGUGUGGAUACCAACAUAGCUGAUGACUGGCAUGAACAUAGUAUACAUUUGAUAUUUUAUAUCUAUCUAUUUAAUGAAAUAAUACUUGCCACUGAAAACUGGCCCUAAUAUAACAUGUACAUGGCAUCAAGGUGAAGUGAAAAAGCUCAAGCAUGACACUGGACAAUGGAUUUGCAUCCUGGGUCAAUCACUUAAAAACUGCAUGGUCUUGGACAAGUCAUUUAACCUUUCUGAGCUUUAGUUUUCUCAUCUGAAGAACAGGGAUGUAAAAUUUCUUGCAAGUUUGUGGUGAGAAGGAGACACAAAAUACAUUUUUAAAAAAGCAUUUGGCCAACAUCCUGGUACAUAGCAAAUGCUUAAUAAAUGGAAACGCUGAUCUUUAAUGUGUCAGUCCCGCUACAAAUUAGGGUAUUUUUUUUUUAAGCCCAACACAAACAAACAUCCCACUGGAAGUUUUUGAUCAGCUAUGCUGUUGCUGUAUAAUGAUCAUGGUUUAGUCUUAAGGGCAUGUGGUUUCAAUAACUAUAUGUGGUUGGAAGUUAUGCUGCCUGUAGGAACGAAAGGAGGAAAGAGAUUGGUGUAAUUCAAGUUUCACCAGUAUCUCACUAGGCAGUUUUGGAACUUUGUGCCUUCUCUCCCUCUGGCUUCCCUUCUUCUGCCAGUAGGAAGCCUAGUGGCCCCAGAAACGGUUACACUCAAGAAGCAGUAGAGGCUGAAAAUCUGCGGAGGUGGCACUGCUUUGCUUGGUGGGGUUAGGCCAAGCAGGUAGGUUCGUAACCUACUGGUCAGGUGCCAGAAGACUUUUUCUUCCCUGGGUGUUGUCUGAGAGAAAGGGAUUACGACCCAGCAGAUGUUCACUGUAAAUGACAAUCCCUUUUCAAACGUUAAGUAUGUUCAUAUAAGUAGUAGCGAGAGGCAACUUGUUUUGUAGUUGGGCCCUGUUUGCUUCUUGCACAGUAUUUAAGGAACUGGGCCUGACAUAGUAAUAGCUAACUUUGUAAAGCAACUACAUAUGUACUAUGAGAAUAAACCAUUCAACAAACAACAACAACGACAACAACAACAACAACAAAAAGAGAAGAAACCAUUCAACAUACACUGGGAACUCUUAGAAUAAAAGUAACACUUAAAUUUAAGGUGGAGUACGAUCAUCAACGAAUUCUUAUGCCAUAUGUGCAAGUGGCUCUGAUGUGAAACUUGCAUGGUAGAGAAAAUGUAAGGAAAGGAAACAUAUAGGAAAUGUGUUUCAUGCACACACACACACAAUUUUUUCACACAGUUGAUGAAGCUACAUUGAACCAGCAAUUUGAAUAUUAUUAUUAUCCAUCUCUCUCAUUAAAUACUUAGGAACACAUAGUAAAAUUGCUUAAGGAUGGACAUUUAGAUUGCCAUAUCCAGAGUUAUAUCCAAGCAGCAAAUGAUUGCACUGCUUAUAAAUUCUAGGCAGAUGAUAAUUUAAAGUCCCCACGAAAGCCCUGAGCUUAUUUGAUUGUUCUCUUAAUUACUGGGCUCUAUGCUAUCAAAUAUUUGUGUAAGAGGAAGCUUUUCUUUGUGGGAGUGGAUAAUAGCUGUGCUUACACUUUGAAAUUUUUGCCUUGAGUUAUUAAGAUUUACAUUUCUCACUUUUGUUCCAGGGAAAGGUGUUUAGCCGUUUUUAGAAAACAGGUACCACAUAAUCAAUCAUCAAACACCCGGGAAAGUUUCCGCCCUUGACAAGUGUAAAAUCUCAGGUAUUAGCAACCCACCUCCAGAAACAAAUCUACCAAGGGUGGAAAGGGGUAGAAAGGAUGUCUCACUUUCCUAGGUGAAUAUAUUGUGAUUGGUAUGUGUGGCAUGCAUUGAGAAAUUACAUUUGCUUACUAACUGCCGUUUAGAAAUCAGCCCGAAAAAGUCUGGGAGAGAUCGCCCAGAGACAGCCAAGCCCCGAGCCUCGCUCCCAAGCUCCUCCGGAGUCCUGCUCUUCUAGGCGCGUGAAGAAUAAAUAGAGUCUGGUCAUUGAUCUCCUGAUGGUGUUGUUGCACUCUGGGUAAUGCUGGGGGUGCCCAGGGACGCGGCGCAGUCCAUGGUUGCGCGUCUGCAGAGAAUUACAGAGAUGGGGACAGAGAACACGCACCUCGGCAUAAAAGCAAAAGGAGAGAAGGCUACAGCGAGGAAAAGAAACGUGUUGCUCGAAUUGUUUCCUUAGU